rnacentral:rRNA from 1 species
GCAGUCGAGGGGCAGCGCGGGGUAGCAAUACUCUGGCGGCGACCGGCGGAAGGGUGCGUAACACGUGAGCGACUUGCCCGAUACAGGGAGAUAACCGGUGGAAACGCCGACUAAUAUCCCAUAGGACUUGAGGCUGCAUGGCCUUGAGUUGAAAGGUUCGCCGGUAUCGGAUAGGCCCGCGGGACAUUAGCUUGAUGGCGGGGCAACGGCCCACCAUGGCGACGAUGUCUAGGGGUUCUGAGAGGAAGACCCCCCACACUGGGACUGAGACACGGCCCAGACUCCUACGGGAGGCAGCAGUGAGGAAUAUUGGUCAAUGGGCGGAAGCCUGAACCAGCCAUGCCGCGUGAAGGACUAAGGCCCUAUGGGUCGUAAACUUCUUUAGACGCAGAGCAAUAAGGGCCUCGCGAGGUCCGAUGAGAGUAAGCGUAGAGUAAGCAUCGGCUAACUCCGUGCCAGCAGCCGCGGUAAUACGGGGGAUGCGAGCGUUAUCCGGAUUUAUUGGGUUU